AACGAGUAGCGAUUAACUGGCAAGUUAACUAAUUAAUCGGGCGAAUUCUUGAACAGUGCUUUUCGCUGCUAUGCUCUUAGAUGUGCAUGUGUAGGAUGAACUUGACUAGUCAUAAUUGCUAAAACUGGUCCACAACUAAAUUUGGAAAAAGGCUAAGUUCUACGUAGUCUAAUCACUCCUUCCCUCUUAACAUACUUUCGAUCCUACAAGGAGGGAAGGGUUUCUCCCUGUACGGUCGGAGAAGGG
rnacentral:lncRNA from 1 species